UCUGCCCAAUGUGUCCCGUGGCCCGUGAAAUCAAGCGUGGGUGAGACCUGGUGCAGAACGGGAAGGCGACCCAUACUUGGUUUCAGAGGCUGCGAGAAUACCUAC
rnacentral:pre_miRNA from 1 species